AGCAACCAGCUGGCGUCCCCCUUCUGCAAUGUCGAAGCUUUGUUCUUUUGCUCCUUGCAGUAACUCUUGCUGCUGCUCACUGUUUGGGUCUGCGCUACCUUUAUGAGCUGUAACACUCAUCUUGAAGGUCUGCAGGUUCACUCCUGAAGCCAACGAGACUAUGAACCCACCGGGAGGGAGGAACAACUCCGGAUGGAAGGAAAGAACAACUCCAGACACACUGCCUUUGAGAGCUGCAAUGCUCACCAUAAAGGUCUGCAGCUUCACUCCUGAAGCCACCGAGACCACGAAUCCACCAGAAGGAAGAAACUGUGGACACGUCCAAACAUCAGAAGUAACAAACUCCGGACACACCAUCUUUAAGAGCUGUAACACUCACCGCAAGGGUCUGCAGCUUCAUUCUUGAAGUCAGGGAGACCAAGAACCCACCAAUUCUGGACACAAUGUUUGGAGGAUGUUCACUAUCCUGAAAACAGGUAAGCAAAAACAAAUAAAACCUCCUUCCUUUCCUGAAAAAAGCUGUGUUUCAAGGUAACCAAUAGAUGAUAAGCAAAAGUUCUUCCUUUUAAAAAAUUUCUAGCUAGGAAAUGAAGAUGAAAUAAAUGAUACUGCAAUCCCUAAUGAAAUAAUGGAUCCAAGCAAUGAUCAUUAAUGGCUGCUAAAACCACUUGCUGAAAACUGAUUGGGGAACAUUAUAAUAGAUGGAUCAGGCUGACAACAUCUGAACACACUGAUCAAUCUUAAUAUUACAAGAGGGAUAAGUAGCUAUUAUGUGUAUCAUGUCAUGUAAGAGUAUAC
rnacentral:lncRNA from 1 species